UCCGGUUGAUCCUGCCAGAGGUUACUGCUAUCGAGGUUCGACUAAGCCAUGCGAGUCGAAUGUAGCAAUACAUGGCGUACUGCUCAGUAACACGUGGACAACCUGCCCUUAGGUUGGGUAUAAACCCGGGAAACUGGGUAUAAUCCCCUAUAAGUCUCGGCUGCUGGAAUGCACCGAGAUUAAAAGCUCCGGCGCCUAAGGAUGGGUCUGCGGCCUAUCAGGUAGUAGUGGGUGUAGCGUACCUACUAGCCUACGACGGGUACGGGUUGUGAGAGCAAGAGCCCGGAGAUGGAUUCUGAGACACGAAUCCAGGCCCUACGGGGUGCAGCAGGCGCGAAAACUUUACAAUGCUGGCAACAGCGAUAAGGGAACCUCGAGUGCCAGGUUACAAAUCUGGCUGUCGAGAUGCCUAAAAAGCAUUUCAUAGCAAGGGCCGGGCAAGACCGGUGCCAGCCGCCGCGGUAACACCGGCGGCUCGAGUGGUAACCGUUAUUAUUGGGUCUAAAGGGUCUGUAGCCGGCCGGAUAAGUCUCUUGAGAAAUCUGGCAGCUUAACUGUCAGGCUUUCAGGAGAUACUGUCUGGCUCGAGGCCGGGAGAGGUGAGAGGUACUUCAGGGGUAGGGGUGAAAUCUUGUAAUCCUUGAAGGACCACCAGUGGCGAAGGCGUCUCACCAGAACGGACCUGACGGCAAGGGACGAAAGCUAGGGGCACGAACCGGAUUAGAUACCCGGGUAGUCCUAGCCGUAAACGAUACUCGCUAGGUGUCGGCCACGGUGCGACCGUUGUCGGUGCCGUAGGGAAGCCGUGAAGCGAGCCACCUGGGAAGUACGGCCGCAAGGCUGAAACUUAAAGGAAUUGGCGGGGGAGCACCACAACGGGUGGAGCUUGCGGUUUAAUCGGAUUCAACGCCGGAAAUCUUACCGGGACCGACAGCAAUAUGAAGGCCAGGCUGAAGACUUUGCCGGAUUAGCUGAGAGGUGGUGCAUGGCCGUCGUCGGUUCGUACUGUGAAGCAUCCUGUUAAGUCAGGUAACGAGCGAGACCCA
rnacentral:rRNA from 1 species